GAACGGGGUAGCAAUACCCAGUGGCAGACGGGUGAGUAACACGUGGUCAACCUACCUCUGUGUGGGGGAUAACUAGCCGAAAGGUUAGCUAAUACCGCAUACGAUCGUUUUGGGGCAUCUCGAGACGAUGAAAGGAGCAAUCCGCACGGAGAGGGGACUGCGUCCCAUUAGUUAGUUGGUGGGGUAACGGCCUACCAAGCCUGUGAUCCGUAGCUGGUCUGAGAGGAUGAUCAGCCACACUGGGACUGAGACACGGCCCAGACUCCUACGGGAGGCAGCAGUGGGGAAUAUUGGACAAUGGGCGCAAGCCUGAUCCAGCAAUGCCGCGUGAGUGAUGAAGGCCUUCGGGUUGUAAAGCUCUUUCGCCCGCGACGAUGAUGACGGUAGCGGGAGAAGAAGCCCCGGCUAACUUCGUG
rnacentral:rRNA from 1 species